UCUUUUCCAUCCCUCUGUCGCGAAAACUCGUCGGGCUGGCUCAUUCUUUCACUCUUUCUUCGAGAGUCCUCCAUUUCGUCCAUGUGUUCUAUGUUUUCUGUACUUUUUGGGCAUCUUGGCGCUGCAUUCUGGGUCUUAAACGUCGGGAGGUCAAUAGCAUUUCCGCUUUUUACUGUCUAUCCGUCCGUCUCCUGGAAGGACUAGUUAUAUUCUCACUCAAACCUAAACUGUCCCAGCGUCGUGUUACUAGUCGAUCUAUUGCUUAUCAAUUCAAAUCUGGCCUAUGUUUAGAUAUUUCUUGUAAAAUUCUCAAGUAAUAUUUUUUUCCAAACAAUCCGUCGUGUAUGAUUAAUCUAUUUCUUCUGACAGUAAUGCAUCCAAAGUUGAUUUAGUCUCGUGUCUGGUUGUUUUAGGAAAGAAAUCGUUAGGUUUCCUUUAGAAAUCAGUAAUAAGGUGGUUAUUAUUACGCAGGGAAGCAUGUUAGGUGAUAGAAUAACGUCAUACAAUAGCUUUUCAGUUUUCAUUUAUAAUGUUUACUUUUUGUAGGCCUAUCUAGUAUAAUGUUUGUUAUUUGUUAUGAAGGUAAGCUAUAUCCAGUGGGAAGGAAAUGUUAUAUUAUUGCUCUUACUUAUUCCAUAAAAAUCCAUACGAGCUGUCAUCUGUCUCGUCGGACAGCCAACCUAUUCUGUAAAUCCCUUUCUCUGCUCGCAUCAGCAUUAUAUUCGCUCCAUGCAACCCGCAGCUCAACUCUCUGCUUCGGCUAUGGGCUCCCCGGUACCCGAGGUCUUACUGAUCGGUUCUUGUCAUGAAACACACUAGACUUACAAAACACACACACACACACAUAGGCCUACCGAUCGAUUUGCAUGUGACUCCGUCAGGGAAUCAGCAAGAAUCGACUUUAACAUCGCUUCAAAGAAGCAAACAGGAAUGAAAAAUAAAAGAAAAUGAUGGACAAAGUGGGGGGAGAGAAAAGUAGAGGAACUGAGAUGUAAAGCGGGGCGGAGGGAAAUACACAUGUAAGAAACGAAUCGGAAAGUGAUAAUGUUGCUUAAUUAUAAAGGAUUUUAUCAACCCGUGAUGGUGCUGAAAACAGCGGACCGAUCAAGUGGUAUAUCUGUCAAAAUAAGAAUGCGGACGGUGUUUCUCUUUCGCGGGACAUACACGGACCCACAAGCUGGACUAAUGUGCUCCUUUCCUGGCUACGCUCAUGUGCAGCACCCGCUACCCUCCGUAGGCUGAAUGUAACCCUUUCACAUCGUAAUCGUCCUCAAAAUGUGUUUCUUGACACCAAUAACACUUCUCUGUCUUUCCUGAUUCCAUCGAAAAGCACAAAUGUGUUUUUAAAUCCAUGUUUUUUGUGGUCUACUUCUUGGAGAGGAAUCGCUGACCAUUUCUUUUCUUCCAGUCAUGAGGAGAACAAGGACGAACGCAGAUGUAAACACAGGGCAUGGAAAGGAAAAAAGUAUCAAAUAUGAACAACAUCCGGCGACCAACCUUGACCUAUUGUUGUUCAUUUCCCAUGUGUCAUACUGUCUUUGUAAUAGCAUUUCAUUUCUACAUGUGUGCAUAUAGGCCUAUGCCAUUUUACUGUUUCUAAAUAAAUAUUAUUUCCCAACCUGCGCUACUUAGAUAGGGUGGACAAGUACCAGCCUAAUAUAUGUUUAUAACAUGUUAAUUACAAAACUCUACAUUUGAUUACUUAAUUAGAACUUAAUUUGUUUGAAAAAUAGCGAAACCUUUUUGUUUGUGUAUUAUGUGCAUACUCCACUCACAUUUCCAUUGCUGAUUAAUCAUUCGAAAUUGCAAUUCAAAUCGUUAAUUUUUUGCAGAGAAAAACACUUCAUUGAAAUGAAGGAUUGUAAUAUUCACCACAUAUUCACAAACGAGACGAUUUCGAUCUCAAAAACAUCCAUUCUAUGCAUUUGUAAUUGUUUUUGUCUGUUACAUGAAUAUAUUGUGUAAACGAAAAUUAAACGCAAUUAAAAAUAUUUAUUUUUGUCUCUAGUAUUAAGUUUUGUUUGAGUAAAUGAAAACAAUAAACCAGCAACGUCAGAAAGUGGGGACAACACUGACAUCGGUUGUGUGGAUGCUAACUGAACUGGGAGCAGGACGACCUGUUUGUUGUGAUAACCAUGAUUUAGAGAUAGUGACGUUGGAGGGUAAAUAUGACUACCGUCCAUCUGGUCACUCUGUCUCAUUCACAUUAAAAAUAAGGAAUAUUCAUUAAUCUGGCUCUAUUCUUAAAUACUACUGCAUUGCACUGUUGGAGCUUGGAACACAAGCAUUUCGCUACACCCGCAAUAACAUCUGCUAAAUGUGUAUGUGACCAAUAAAAUUGGAUUUGAUUACUUGUGUCCUCCUGCUUCCAACUCACUAUACCUCUUCAGAAUGUACAUUAUUAUUUUAAAUCAAAUGUUGUAUUCGUUGUUGGUGAGUGGAUAUAGGAAGCUACAUGUUUUUUUGCUAAUGUCGAUUUUAGAAAUGUGCAUUUCAGAAAACGAAGGUCAGCAACGGGGUUUGCUUAUGUAAAUACUGUAGGCCUAUGCAAAAUGCAACGUGUGUGUGCGCGCGCACACGCGCGUGCCAAUGCCCCCUUACCAGGUAGGUUUGCUACCACCGUAUAACCCUGUUUUUUUGUAAUCAACUAAUAAUGUCCAUUAAAAUAUGAAACAUCA